GCGAACAACUACAUUUCAGUAAGUGUCACGUGGAUAAUUCAAAAUUAACUCUUGAUGCUCAUAGUAUAGGCAGUAUCUUUUUCCCUGGGGUAAAGAAAAAGGCAAUUUAAGUUAAGUCGCAAUAAGUUUGUUUCACCUGCUAACCAACCCUUUUAAUUUUGCUAGAAUCAUUAGAAGCCUUCUUUGUUGAGAAGCUUGACCUUCAAAUACAAUGGAGUGAUUCAU
rnacentral:misc_RNA from 1 species